UUCGUAGGCGGUGCGGCAAGUUGGGAGUGAAAUCUCUGGGCUUAACCCAGAGGCUGCUUCCAAAACUGCUGUGCUUGAGUGUGGGAGAGGCGCGUGGAAUUGCAGGUGUAGCGGUGAAAUGCGUAGAUAUCUGCAGGAACACCCGUGGCGAAAGCGGCGCGCUGGACCACUACUGACGCUGAGGAACGAAAGCUAGGGGAGCAAACAGGAUUAGAUACCCUGGUAGUCCUAGCCCUAAACGAUCGGGACUUGGGGUGCCGCACGUUCGUGCGUCGUCCCGGAGCUAACGCGUUAAGUCCCGCGCCUGGGGAGUACGGUCGCAAGACUGAA
rnacentral:rRNA from 1 species